ensembl:snRNA U6 U6 spliceosomal RNA
GUGCUCACUUCAGGAGCACAUAUGAUAAAAUCGGGAUGAUGCAGAAAUUCGUGUGCCCCCUGCAUAAAGAUGAUAUGUUAAGUUCAUGAAGUGUUGAACUUCAUA